UACGGAGGGUGCAAGCGUUGUCCGGAUUUAUUGGGUUUAAAGGGUGCGUAGGCGGCUUUAUAAGUCCGUGGUGAAAGCCAACAGCUCAACUGUUGAACUGCCAUGGAUACUGUAAGGCUUGAGUACAGACGAGGUAGGCGGAAUGGAUGGUGUAGCGGUGAAAUGCAUAGAUACCAUCCAGAACCCCGAUUGCGUAGGCAGCUUACUAGGCUGUAACUGACGCUGAGGCACGAAAGCGUGGGGAGCGAAC
rnacentral:rRNA from 1 species